UUCUGAAGCCUCUGACCUCUUAUCAUUAAUUUUAGAAUUUAAAUGCCUGUUAAUUUCCCCCUUUUAUUGCUGAGCUCCACACAGCAGCAUGUUCAAUGUCAAUGGGGAUAUCCUUUGGAGACAUUCAGUAUAUCAAAUCUGAAGGUCGCUGGAAAUCUGGGCACUUAGAGCAGGAGAGGAGGACCAGGAGAGAGGGGAAGGGCACCGUGGGGCACAGAGCGAGGUUGAGAAGAGGCUUCUUUGGCUGAAAUUGAGAGAUGAGCAGAAGACCUGAGUCUUCUGUCUGUCCUUGGCCGGUGCACACACGAAUAAGGGCUUUAGGGAGGAAACACACAUGACUCUUAGGAAAAUGGAAGCAGUGAUUUGAAGGAGCCUCCCUCACUCCCUGUGUCUGGCACCCUCUUUUUCCAUCUGAUGACCGAAAGGGGCUUACCAGGAGCUAUCACACAGCAGUGGACAGCACACAGAUCCUGGAGUCUGGCCGACCCGGGUUCAAGUUCUGCUUCCCUUGCUUUCGAGUGAGAAGACCUUCGAUACAUAUCUUCACUGAACCUCCAUUUGCUUGUGUGGAAAAUGGAGAACCUUGGCUGAUGGAGCUGAUGGGAUUUAUGGUGACUGGUGAUGAGCUUAAGUUUUAACCAUCUAAGGCAUCCCCCAGCACUGGAGGGUGUUUUGAGCCCAAACCCUCUGGGGGAAGAAUCAAGGCAGCUUCUUACUUGGACCGGAGACCCUAGAAGAGCGCUGUGGCCGAGACCAGACUGGGGACCUAAUGUGUCCAAAUGAUAAGCCCCUAGGCGUCACUGCUGGCCUCUUAGCUAAUCUGACACAGUCCCCUCACUUUCUCAGAGAGUGAAGGGAGGAAAAUUGGCAGAGAACAGAAAGAGCGUGCCUGUCAUUGCCAACAGGGAGAGGAGAGUCCACAUGGGACUUCUCUGGCCCACUCCAUGGCAUCUGCCUGACCUGCCCUGUUCAGGAACAGGCACUGCCAUGCGUUGGCAUGGGCCCAGGAGGAGACAUGACCUUGACCGUCCCAUCCCUUCAAGACGCCGGCCACGAGCUCACCCUUUGCA
rnacentral:lncRNA from 1 species